UUUAGUGAGAGUUUGAUCCUGGCUCAGGACGAACGCUGGCGGCGUGCCUAACACAUGCAAGUCGAGCGAGGAGAGUUCCUUCGGGAACAAACCUAGCGGCGGACGGGUGAGUAACACGUGGGCAACCUGCCUUGUAG
rnacentral:rRNA from 1 species